rnacentral:rRNA from 1 species
ACUGCUCAGUAACACGUGGACAACCUACCCUUGGGUCUGGCAUAAUCCUGGGAAACUGGGUAUAAUUCCAGAUAGGUCACAGAUGCUGGAAUGCACUGUGGCCGAAAGCUCCGGCGCCCAAGGAUGGGUCUGCGGCCUAUCAGGGUUGUAGUGGGUGUAACGGACCUACUAGCCUACGACGGGUACGGGUUGUGAGAGCAAGAGCCCGGAGAUGGAUUCUGAGACACGAAUCCAGGCCCUACGGGGUGCAGCAGGCGCGAAAACUUUACAAUGCGGGAAACCGUGAUAAGGGAAUCUCGAGUGCCAGCAUAUAAUGUUGGCUGCCCAGAUGCCUAAAAAGCAUCUGUUAGCAAGGGCCGGGCAAGACCGGUGCCAGCCGCCGCGGUAACACCGGCGGCCCGAGUGGUAACCGCUUUUAUUGGGUCUAAAGGGUCUGUAGCCGGCCAAGUAAGUCCCUUGGGAAAUCUGGCAGCUUAACUGUCAGGCUGCUAGGGGAUACUGCUAGGCUUGGGACCGGGAGAGGUGAGAGGUACCUUGGGGGUAGGGGUGAAAUCUUGUGAUCCUCGGGGGACCACCAGUGGCGAAGGCGUCUCACCAGAACGGGUCCGACGGUAAGGGACGAAAGCUAGGGGCACGAACCGGAUUAGAUACCCGGGUAGUCCUAGCCGUAAACGAUGCUCGCUAGGUGUCAGUCACGGUGCGACCGUGAUUGGUGCCGUAGGGAAGCCGUGAAGCGAGCCACCUGGGAAGUAUGGCCGCAAGGCUGAAACUUAAAGGAAUUGGCGGGGGAGCAC